rnacentral:lncRNA from 1 species
UUCUUUUUUCCCUUCUCUCCCUUUUUUUCUUUUUUCUAUUCUGUAUCUUUUUCCUUUUUUCCCCUUUCCGUCUCCCCCUUCUUCCCACACUUCCUUUUUUCUUUCCCCCUCUUUUCUCCUCUUUAUCUUUCUUUUUUUGCCCUUUUUCUUCUUCUUUCUCCAUUAUUCCUAUUUCCUUUCUUUCUUUCUUCCCUUCAACCCCCUUUUUUCUAGCUUUCUUUUUUCUAGCUAUCUUUCUUUCUCUUUCCCCCCAUUUUCCCUUCCUCUCUUUUCUCUCUCUCCUUUUUCUCCCUUUUUUAUCUUGCUGUCUUUUUUUUUCUUUAUGUCUUUUUUUCAUUUCCCCCCCCAAGCUGUGCUCUUAGGAAGAGGCAGAUCCCACGCGAUGGCUCGGUGCCUGUCUCCCACAAUAAAGCUGCUGAGCUGGGCGCUGACAUCAGCAGGAUUUGAGAGGGGCAGGAGGGGAAAAAGCCCCGGAAGCGCUGGGUCCCUCAGGGGUGUGUGAAGAGCCAAGGCCAGGAAGGGAGAUGAGGGGCAGACCUACCUCCAUCUUGUUCCUGGGGAGGGCAGUGUGUGCUCAACCUCUGUAUUAGACGCCAGAGACUUCACACAGGCAGGACUUUAUGGAUGUACACGUAUGCACAGAUCACACAAGUGCUUUGGCAGGUCCAUCUGCCCACAAUGGAGGGACAAACUCGCUCAGCAGCCCCACAGCCAUAAUUACCCUUUGGUUUCUCUUUCUGGACUUUGUGGUGCAUGGGGGGGGGAACCUCAUGAAGCAAGGACCGCUGGUGACCUCAGCCCUCAAGGCCGCCACCAUCGCCUCUUGCUGCAGAGCAGCGUGCCUGGCCUGGCACCUUGUGGCUUUGAAGAUCACCUGGAAUUCAGCAGGAUUGCAAAUAAACCACCCCAGAGGCUGGAGGGAGCUGUUGAGCAUAUCAGGGUGGCCAUCACCCCACACAGCCACGGGUAAGAAGGGCCCCAGAGCACUGGGAGCCACCAAGUGAUGCAAUACUUUGGUUUUUCAGUUUUUUUGCUUUUGCAACAAUGAUUUCCUUUUUCGUGAGCUCUCGCAGAAAACAGAGCACCUACCCAGGCACUAAUCCACCAGCAGUAACAAAGCCCUCAACACAGCCAACACAAGGAGGGUGGCUGGUGUCCCAUACGUGCCAUGGGGGAGGUGGGCUCUGAUAGGGCUCCAAAAACCACACAAGAGGAGAUUCGGUGUCCCCUGCAUUGGGUGACAUGGUGCCCUUCCAGGACACGUCACCAAGCUGGCUGCUUUAGGAAGAGAGAGGCAGAAAA